rnacentral:rRNA from 1 species
UACGUAGGGUGCAAGCGUUGUCCGGAAUUAUUGGGCGUAAAGAGCUCGUAGGCGGUUUGUCGCGUCUGCUGUGAAAACUCGGGCUUAACCCCGGGCCUGCAGUGGGUACGGGCAGACUAGAGUGCGGUAGGGGAGACUGGAAUUCCUGGUGUAGCGGUGAAAUGCGCAGAGUAUCAGGAGGAACACCGGUGGCGAAGGCGGGUCUCUGGGCAGUAACUGACGCUGAGGAGCGAAAGCGUGGGGAGCGAACAGG